UAGCAGGUGAUGAUCCUGAAAUGGUCU
rnacentral:misc_RNA from 1 species